rnacentral:rRNA from 1 species
GGAUGAACGCUGGCGGCGUGCCUAAUACAUGCAAGUCGAGCGAACAGAUGAGGAGCUUGCUCCUCUGACGUUAGCGGCGGACAGGUGAGUAACACGUGGAUAACCUACCUAUAAGACUGGGAUAACUACGGGAAACCGGAGCUAAUACCGGAUAAUAUAUUGAACCGCAUGGUUCAAUAGUGAAAGACGGUUUUGCUGUCACUUAUAGAUGGAUCCGCGCCGCAUUAGCUAGUUGGUAAGGUAACGGCUUACCAAGGCAACGAUGCGUAGCCGACCUGAGAGGGUGAUCGGCCACACUGGAACUGAGACACGGUCCAGACUCCUACGGGAGGCAGCAGUAGGGAAUCUUCCGCAAUGGGCGAAAGCCUGACGGAGCAACGCCGCGUGAGUGAUGAAGGUCUUCGGAUCGUAAAACUCUGUUAUUAGGGAAGAACAAAUGUGUAAGUAACUAUGCACGUCUUGACGGUACCUAAUCAGAAGGCCACGGCUAACUACGUG